UACGUAGGGUGCAAGCGUUGUCCGGAAUUAUUGGGCGUAAGGAGCUUGUAGGCGGUCUGUUGCGUCCGCUGUGAAAACCCGGGGCUUAACCCUGGGCUGGCAGUGGAUACGGACAGACUAGAGGUAGGUAGGGGAGAAUGGAAUUCCCGGUGUAGCGGUGAAAUGCGCAGAUAUCGGGAGGAACACCGGUGGCGAAGGCGGCGACCUGGGUAGAUACUGACGCUGAGGCGCGAAAGCGUGGGGAGCAAACAGGG
rnacentral:rRNA from 1 species